rnacentral:lncRNA from 1 species
GUACUACGGCCAACCAAGAACCACCGUCGGCAAUGAAAGAAGAUAGUGGGGGUGGGGGGGGGGGGAGGGGGGGGGGGGGAGCUUCUGCCGCCACUGCUGAUACGCGUAGACGCCCAUGCCGGGUAUAUUGUGCUUGGGCGGGGAGCUUUGCCGCGUUUCCGUGGGGCUGUCGGUUACCUUCGCGGAAGGGGAGAACCACUGGGUGGCCGGUGAUUUCUGACCUGAAUCAUAGUGUCACCACGGGACCGCCUUACGUCGUGGGCGGCAUCACCAGCUCUGUCGCAUCAAGUAAGAACACCCUUAUCUGCUUUGGGUUGAUUCUCGUGUCGUGUAGGACUAGUCGAAUCCGUGAACGAGGCAUUGCGGUGCCGGGUUGGCCAACGCCAGCCAUGGCCUCCACCGUGCAGCGAGCGGCACCGCCGUGGUCAGCGUCGGGGGAGGACGUUGAUGUUUCUGUCUGGUAAUCCUGGCCUUUGAACAGGUCGAGCAGAGUAGAAUCUUGGAGGGAUCUCGGCCUCGGAUCAAGAUCUGUCGGUCACUCAUACCGGUUCGCGAUCUAUUAUACCCCGUAGAUCAGUGAUACAUCGGUCAUAAUCACACCCACCUGGCCGCCGUGGUAGAUUUUCUAAAGAGCCCCUGAAAUUCUUAUAAAUCAAACCGCGGUCCAGGCCAUAGAAAGAAUCAUUACAGUCAGGCCCAGGAUUUUGCACGAUUGACCCUGGAGAAUUCCUAAAUAAUGCAUGAAGUCUAACUAAAUCUCAAAUUUAAUAAAUUAAUACCAAAAAUGGUUUUCUUAUAUAAAAAUAAUCCCAGAAUAUUGUUUAAAUCAUAAGUAAUUCAUUUUAAUUCCUUUUGAUCCAUUCCAGUUACAUUAUAUUCACAUUAAUAUUGUUUAUCAUCUAGUAACUCUGUUUGUCAUGAAACAUAGAUUAAAAUUAUGCACUUAAUUUAUUCUAUAUUAAACACUUAAAACUUCAGAAAAUCAUAACUCUUUAACCGUAACUCUGAAUUUAGUGAUUCUCGAACCUGCGAUCUCAUUGCGAUGCGUAGAAUAUUAUCAUGAAUUAUGUUCUAAUGUUUGGUGUGAUAUUAAUUUCUCCUGUACCAUGUUUGUUUGUAUUGUUGCAAGUCGACAGGCAAGCAAUUGAGGACCUAGGUGCUCAGCCGGUGAAAAGUGCUGAGCAGGAGCUCGUUGAAGGCAAAUUGUGCCCUUGAUCACUUUUAUUUACCCAAUACUGUUCCUGUUAAUCAUUAUGACCUACAUAGGUUAAUUUUGAUGGGACCCAAUAGGUCACCCCAGUUUGGCUAUUCAACCACAAAUUUGUUUUAGGGUAGCUGAAGCCCAGCUUUAAAGAAGCUUCGGUAGACCACGACUUCAUUUUCUUCGGGUACAGGAACAGUCUUCUCCCCGUUGUCAGCUCUCACAAUAGACAUAUCCCGAAAAUAUCUUCCUCUCAUAUUAUCAAGAUGACUCUGCUUAAUAGUUGAUUUUCCAAAGACUGAAUGGCUUCGGCGCCAGGGCCGAUCUUCGGAGUCUUCGCCCCCACUUUCUGCGUCAUAGCUGUCACUGUCAUUAGUAUCUUCAGAUAGGCCUUCUAGAAUUUCUCUUGUAAUUUUCUCCGUAUUUGUUUUAGCAAUUGACUCAACGAAUCCAGCGGUUUUUUCCUUAAGAAGCUUCUCCUCCUCGCUCAGCUUCGUUUCAGCAACAACUUUCUUAUCUUGAGACAUCUCUUCGAAAAUGGUGAAAAUAUGCUCUUAAAGCCGAAGCUUAGAAAAUCUAAAAAGCUAAGCAAGCGUUGGUAGGCAAGAGCUAAAAAUUGAGCAAGCAGAGCAGAUGGCAAAAAGCGUGCCAAAUGAGUUCGUGGUGUGCCCUUAUUUAUACGCCUAGCGCGUUGCAAGUUGGAGGGCCCCACUUGUCAUUAAUUGUUGCUAUUCUAGCAAAGGGAAGGUGUUUUUUCGGACCUUCGGCUUAAGGCCUUCGUCCAUAUCGCAAUCUGAAUUUAUCAUUCUAACAAAUUAAUAUUGCGAGGGGCUACUGUUGGGGGCCUUCGGCUUCCGAAGGUCCUCAAAAACAUGAUUUAACAAUGUUUCUGGAGUAUAAUACAUGAACAUGUAUCUUCAGACUCGGAUCAGAACCACAAUAUAAAGAAGCACAAAGAACACGAAGGUUGGCGCAGAGCCGAAGCUAUGUGCAGGAGAGCUUCGGCACGAUAGCAGAAAAGGAAACCGACUUAAAAAGGAAAAGUCUAUUCAGACCUCGAUGGGUUACUAUAGAGUCAUUAGCAAAUGUAAAGGGCAUGGGUGUAAUUUUACAUGGGCUGUGUCCCGUGCCUAUAAAUAGAUGAACAGUGCUCCCGUACUAUACACGCUGACUUGGCAUUUGCAUUUGCGUCACACUUGUACUUUUACCUUCUUUCAAGCCGAAGGUACACUUGUAAUGUGAUAUCAUUUAUGCUUUUCCAUAAUAAUAAAA